rnacentral:rRNA from 1 species
CAGUCGCCGCGGGAAUACGAGGGGGGCGAGCGUUGUUCGGAAUUAUUGGGCGUAAAGGGUGCGUAGGCGGUUUCUUAAGUCUGAUGUGAAAGCCCCCGGCUCAACCGGGGAGGGUCAUUGGAAACUGGGAAACUUGAGUGCAGAAGAGGAGAGUGGAAUUCCACGUGUAGCGGUGAAAUGCGUAGAGAUGUGGAGGAACACUAGUGGCGAAGGCGACUCUCUGGUCUGUAACUGACGCUGAGGAGCGAAAGCGUGGGGAGCGAACAGGAUUAGAUACCCCAGUAGUCCCUGUCUCUUAUAC